rnacentral:rRNA from 1 species
UACAGAGGUCUCAAGCGUUAAUCGGAAUCACUGGGCUUAAAGGGUGCGUAGGCGGACUCGCAAGUGCGUUUGUGAAAUCCCACGGCUCAACCGUGGAACGGCUUGGCAGACUGCGGGUCUCGAGGUUGGUAGGGGCCGCCGGAACUCUAGGUGGAGCGGUGAAAUGCGUAGAUAUCUAGAGGAACGCCAAAGGUGAAGAACAGGCGGCUGGGCCAAUUCUGACGCUGAGGCACGAAAGCGUGGGUAGCGAACGGG